UACAGAGGUCUCAAGCGUUGUUCGGAUUCAUUGGGCGUAAAGGGUGUGUAGGUGGCGCGCUAAGUCGGGUGUGAAAUUUCGGAGCUUAACUCCGAAACUGCAUUCGAUACUGGCGUGCUUGAGGACUGGAGAGGAGACUGGAAUUCAUGGUGUAGCAGUGAAAUGCGUAGAGAUCAUGAGGAAGACCAGUGGCGAAGGCGGGUCUCUGGACAGUUCCUGACACUGAGAC
rnacentral:rRNA from 1 species